CCGGAGAUAGCUGGUUCUCCUCGAAAUAGCUUUAGGGCUAGCCUCGUAUUAGUCUUGCGGAGGUAGAGCACUGAAUAUCCUAGGGGGCGUCAAAGCUUACCGAAGAUUAUCAAACUCCGAAUGCCGCGUAGAUGAUGUACGGGAGUCAGACUGCACGAGAUAAGUUGGGUAGUCAAAAGGGAAAGAGCCCAGACCACCAGCUAAGGUCCCAAAGUGCGUGUUAAGUGGUAAAGGAUGUGGGAUUUCGAAGACAACUAGGAUGUUGGCUCAGAAGCAGCCAUACAUUCAAAGAGUGCGUAAUAGCUCACUAGUCGAGAGGUCCUGCGCCGAAAAUGUCCGGGGCUAAAACACGACACCGAAGCUGUGGAUCCGAAAGGAUGGUAGAGGAGCAUUCUUAAGUCGACGAAGCUGUACUGUAAGGAGCAGUGGAGAGUUAAGAAGAGAGAAUGCCGGAAUGAGUAGCGAGAUUUAAGUGAGAAUCUUAAAGGCCGAAUAUCUAAGGUUUCCAGGGUAAAGCUGAUCUUCCCUGGGUAAGUCGGGGCCUAAGGCGAGGGCGAGAGCCGUAGUCGAUGGAUAACAGGUUGAAAUUCCUGUACUGCUUAUGGACAGAACUGUGGGGACGCAGAAGGAGAGCACGAGCCGGAAAUGGAAAAGCCGGUACAAGCGUAUAGCAGUCAUGCAGGCAAAACCGCAUGAAAAAUGUAAAACGUUAUGUGGAUCGAACAUUAGUAGAGAAGCGUGUGAGCCAGCUGCCAAGAAAAGCCGCUAUUGUUUCAUAAGUACCCGUACCGUAAACCGACACAGGUGGAUGAGGAGAGAAUCCUAAGGCCGGCGGGAGAAGUGUUGUUAAGGAACUCGGCAAAAUGACUCCGUAACUUCGGGAGAAGGAGUGCCACAGAGAUGUGGCCGCAGAGAAAUGGCCCAAGCAACUGUUUAGCAAAAACACAGGUCUAUGCAAAACCGAAAGGUGAGGUAUAUGGGCUGACGCCUGCCCGGUGCUGGAAGGUUAAGAGGAGAGGUUAGCGCAAGCGAAGCUUUGAAUUUAAGCCCCAGUAAACGGCGGCCGUAACUAUAACGGUCCUAAGGUAGCGAAAUUCCUUGUCGGGUAAGUUCCGACCCGCACGAAAGGCGUAAUGAUUUGAGCACUGUCUCGACAAUGCAUCCGGUGAAAUUGAAGUACCAGUGAAGAUGCUGGUUACCUGCGCCAGGACGGAAAGACCCCAUGGAGCUUUACUCCAGUUUGAUACUGGGAUUCGGUACUGUCUGUACAGGAUAGGUGGGAGGCUAGGAAAUGGUGACGCCAGUUGCCAUGGAGCCAACCUUGGGAUACCACCCUUACAGUACUGGGUUUCUAACCUGCAGCCGUAACCCGGCUGGGGGACAAUGUCUGACGGGGAGUUUGACUGGGGCGGUCGCCUCCGAAAGAGUAUCGGAGGCGCUCAAAGGUUCCCUCAGAAUGGUUGGAAACCAUUCGAAGAGUGCAAAGGCAGAAGGGAGCUUGACUGCGACACCGACGGGUGGAGCAGGUACGAAAGUAGGACUUAGUGAUCCGGUGGUAUAAAGUGGGAUUGCCAUCGCUCAACGGAUAAAAGCUACCCUGGGGAUAACAGGCUUAUCACUCCCAAGAGUUCACAUCGACGGAGUGGUUUGGCACCUCGAUGUCGGCUCAUCGCAUCCUGGGGCUGUAGCAGGUCCCAAGGGUUGGGCUGUUCGCCCAUUAAAGCGGUACGCGAGCUGGGUUCAGAACGUCGUGAGACAGUUCGGUCCCUAUCCGGCGUGGGCGUAGGAUAUUUGAGAGGAGCUGUCCUUAGUACGAGAGGACCGGGAUGGACUGACCUCUGGUGCACCGGUUGGAUUGCCAAAUCCAUGGCCGGGUAGCCAAGUCGGGACGGGAUAAACGCUGAAGGCAUCUAAGCGUGAAGCCCCCCUCAAGAUGAGAUAUCCGAGCGUAAGCUGUAAGACCCCUUGAAGACUACGAGGUAGAUAGGUCAGAGAUGGAAGCGUGGUAACACGUGGAGUUGACUGAUACUAAUAGGUCGAGCGCUUGACCAA
rnacentral:rRNA from 1 species